rnacentral:lncRNA from 1 species
AGAGCACAUCUGGCCUGAGGCUCUGGGCUCCCAGAGGCCAGCAUUACAGGGCUUCCCCCCAGUGCAGCAGCUGGCACCACCCAGGAUUCCAGAGAGAACCAGACAGCAUGACCACGUUGGAGCCACAGGCUUUGCAACCGGAUCUCAGGAGCCACAUCGCAUCUUCUCUGCUCCUUCCAUCCCUAGAAUCCAGUCCUGAGUCACGCAGUCCAGCCCACAUCAGGGACAGGGGACUGCGCUGGCUAUGAGCACUGGGGGCCACCCCUAAGGUACCCACUGUGGCGGCAGCAGCGCCCUACUACGCAGAGUGGCCUUGAGAAAUGAGAAUCUGCGGCUCAGUGCCCAGCCUCCCAGCGCUCGCGGCUCAGCGAGUGUGAGAACCAGCUCCUCCUGUGUGUGCCUCCUCCUGCUGAAUCACAGCUUAAUUCCUCAAUGUCGAUGCCUCCCAUAUCCCAGGCUCUCUCUCUGGUGUUGAGGGACACUCAGAUGAAUGAGAUGUGGCCCCUGACCUGGAGAAUCCCACAAUUAAAGUGGGGCGUGGCAGGUGCUUUGAUGUGGGGGAGGCAAAGGGGAGGCGUCCCGCAGCAGGGAGCAGCAUCGCAUGUGCCCGGGGGCCCCCAGGUGGGCAUCCUCCUGUCAGAGCCCCUCCGGUGAGCCCAGACGCAAUGGGAUGAUUAACCCGUGUUCAGCACUACCGAGCCGUGAAUCUCGAUGAGCCGGUGUGUGCUGCCUGUAAGUGAGCCUUAUGUAACAGGGAUGCUGGAGCAGCUGGCGCCCGCACACAGCCCUUCUUUUAAAAUAGAUUGCUUGUCUUUAUAUAGCCCAAUGAUUCUUUCUUCUGGCUCUGCCGUCUUACAGAGGCGCUGAUGUAGGUCAAAUAUUGCUCGGUGAGAAUUAAUUAAUCUAUAAUUGUAUUGAAGGAAGGGGAGAAAAACAAGUAGAUGCUCAGUGCGCUAUACGGGUCGGGGAAUAAGCUUUGCAGAGGAAGUUUUAGGAGAGCCGCGGCCACUGCUCUCUCAGACUUGCUGGCCCUCGCCCUGCCCACCGCCCGCCCAGGGCCCCCAGAGAGUACGGGGCUUGGAGUUAGCUCUGAGCUCCAGAGGCUCCGCAGUCCCCAGCCCCAGCAGGAGCAUCACUUGGCCUGCUCUGGACCACCCGUGACAGGAGGCCUGGGCUCCCCUGUCACCGCCCGGGUCCUGCUCCUCACCGAGCUGUCCCCUCCCGUCUGCCCUGCCCCUCCUCCCUCUCACCCCUGAACCCACCUG